AUAUAUAGGGUCAAAGUGGUAAUUUCAUUUAUCAGUUAACUAUAUCAGCAGAGAACUCUGAAAAGAUUUCACUCUCUGGAGUAGCCCUUCAAAUUGUUUAGUCACUAUAGCUAUCCAACUCGAAUGAAUCUGCUAGAGCUACUGCUGAAAUCUAACACUAUACGGUCAAGAUUUGAGUCAACAAAGGAGGAGGAUUGGUCUAUGUGAUUUCAACUCAUUCAGAAACUUCGAGCUAUGGUUGAAAGCAUAGAAAUCCUGAGAGUUUCUACUCUUUGACCACGGCCAACUGUAGAGCCAUUUGGAUCUUUUGUAUCAAACCUUUUCAAAAGAUGGGGAGAUCUUGAUAUUUUUAUGGAGUUGCCCAAUGGAUCAUAUUCUGCUGGGAAGAAGCACAAACUAAGUCUACUAGGGGAUGUUCUAAAAGCUCUGAGAGCUAAAGCUAAAGUGUAUGUUUUUAGUGAAGAUGAAGUUGACACCGAAACAAAGAGUGAGGAUAAUGCUUGCUCACUCAAAGAUGAAAGAAUGGCUGAAGAUCAUGGACAUGGAAAACUAGGGAAGCUUAAUGAAUGCUAAACUCAAACUACAUCUUGCUCACUCAAAGAUGAAAGAAUGGUUGAAGAUCACGGACAUGGAAAACUGGGGAAGCUUAAUGAAUGCCAGACUCAAACUAGAAUGCCAGACUCAAACUACACGUAGGAACCUACAGCUGAGUAUAUCCCGAGACACAGGAGAGGAAAAUUAGAAACUUUGAGAACUCAAUAUAUUAACACGAAAGAAGUGAGAGUUACCAUCGACACUUGGAAUAUGGCGGGAAGACUUCCAAAUGAGGAUCUAGAAAUUGAUGAGUGGCUUUUUAUGCAAGAACCAGCAGACAUCUAUAUUCUUGCCUAUGCACAAUGAUUUUAGGCACUUGUCAAUUGACUGUGUGGCAGCUUUCCUGUUAUUCUUAGCUCAUGUGCAAUCCAUUGUGUAAUUUCAAGAGGUGGGCCCUUUGAAUGCUGAAAAUGUACUAGGAGCAGAAAAUAGAAGGCCAGUUCCAAAAUGGGAGGCAAUCAUCCGAAGAACGUUAAAUAGGAUGGAGGAACCUGAGACUAAGCUCAAGAGUUAUAGUGCUCCGCCCUCUCCAGUUUUAAGGACUUCUCUGCUUCUGGCAUAAUUGCGGAUGUGGUUGAUGCUCCUGCAAUGGAUAUAAUCGAAAAGGCAUCCCUCGAUGUACCUUUGGUUUAGAAAGGAUUAGAUGAAGAUAAGAUCUUUGUUUCUGGCCAAAAGUGAUAUAUCUCGACUUCAGGUUCUUUUUGGGUCUAAUGUGACUAUAGUUGUACAAGAUCCAUCGUAUCCGGAUUAUAUGGAUUCAAGUGUUAUUAUGGGCCAAACUGCUCAAUUUCAGAAGGAUAUGGAGAAGCAUGGAAAUAUUGCAUACAUGAGAUGUACUCCAAAAAACGGGUUCUUUCCUGAUUUAUAUAUGUGAUGACAGUCCAAAGUCCAUCUUUGAGAUUCCUGGAGCCAAAGAGGCUAGUACGACGCAGCGCUAUCGCGUCGUGUCUCUGAGAAAUGACAACUGAGAAAUUUCAUGGUGGCGCGAUGCGGUGAAAUCACGUUGCAAUACUGGAAAAGGACAAUUUUGAAUUUGAGCCUUGGCGCGACGCGCCAUAAUCACGGAGGCUCACUGGAUUUUGACGAUUGCCAUUUUGGCAUGCUCCGCGACGCAUUGAUAGCUCAGGUUUCUAGAUUUCAAGAUUAUUAGCCUUCUCAAGGUAAAAAACAAGACUGAAAGAAUAAGGUGCUUCUAGAUGGAUCGACUUCAUAUGUUAGAGGUAUUACGUGUCAGGUUAUUGUGAAGACAGGCAUAAAAAGUAUAAUAAUUUUGUGAAUGCAGUUUUGGACCGAUUUUGCAUUGGUCCUUCAGAUAUCAUCUUGCAUUUUACUGUGAAGCUCGAUUGUGAAGCUCGAUACGGCUCAACUGAUGGAGCUGAGAGCCCAAGAAGAUUAAUGUGUCGGCCUUAUUGGAUGCAUCUUGGAGCAUAGGCAUACUCCACAAAUAUCACGUAUCGUAGCAUCGUCACUAAUGGAGAUAGCCGCUUCACUUCUCAUCAUGAUCAUGAUCACGAUGUGUCUAUAUUAUUUAGAUAGCAUGAUAUGACAAUUUAUUUUUGACCAUUUCAGAAAGAAAGAAAUCUUUUGCAACAUCUGUAGCUAUUGGAUCAAGAGAAAUAUCGAAAGUUGCUACUGAUAAAUUUACUUGAAUGUUCAACUCAUCAGAGUUAAA